rnacentral:tRNA from 1 species
GGGCCGGUAGCUCAGCUUGGCUGGAGCGUUCGGCUGAUAACCGAAAGGUCGAGAGUUCGAAUCUCUCCCGGCCCA